rnacentral:rRNA from 1 species
UACGUAGGGGGCAAGCGUUGUCCGGAUUCAUUGGGCGUAAAGAGCUCGUAGGCGGCUUGGCAAGUCGGGUGUGAAACCUCCAGGCUCAACCUGGAGACGCCACCCGAUACUGCUAUGGCUAGAGUCCGGUAGGGGACCACGGAAUUCCUGGUGUAGCGGUGAAAUGCGUAGAUAUGCGGAGGAACACCGAUGGCGAAGGCAAUCCCCUGGGCCUGCACUGACGCUCAUGCACGAAAGCGUGGGGAGCAAACAGG